UACGUAGGGUGCAAGCGUUGUCCGGAAUUAUUGGGCGUAAAGAGCUCGUAGGCGGUUUGUCGCGUCUGCUGUGAAAACUCGGGGCUUAACUCCGGGCCUGCAGUGGGUACGGGCAGACUAGAGUGCGGUAGGGGAGACUGGAAUUCCUGGUGUAGCGGUGAAAUGCGUAGAUAUCGGAAGGAACAUCAGUGGCGAAAGCGGCUUCCUGGACCAGCACCGACGUUCAGGCACGAAAGCGUGGGGAGCAAACAGG
rnacentral:rRNA from 1 species